UAGGGAAUCUUCCGCAAUGGGCGAAAGCCUGACGGAGCAACGCCGCGUGAGUGAUGAAGGUCUUCGGAUCGUAAAACUCUGUUAUUAGGGAAGAACAAAUGUGUAAGUAACUAUGCACGUCUUGACGGUACCUAAUCAGAAAGCCACGGCUAACUACGUGCCCGCAGCCGCGGUAAUACGUAGGUGGCAAGCGUUAUCCGGAAUUAUUGGGCGUAAAGCGCGCGUAGGCGGUUUUUUAAGUCUGUUGUGAAAGCCCACGGCUCAACCGUGGAGGGUCAUUUGAAACUGGAAUACUUGAGUGCAGAAGAGGAAAGUGGAAUUCCAUGUGUAGCGGUGAAAUGCGCAGAGAUAUGGAGGAACACCAGUGGCGAAGGCGACUUUCUGGUCUGUAACUGACGCUGAUGUGCGAAAGCGGGGGGAUCAAACAGG
rnacentral:rRNA from 1 species